GCUCUGUAACUAUCUGGUGGUUAAAAUAAAUUUCCCAUUCAAAUAUUUUUCUAACUUUUUAAUAACCCUAAUCGUUUCAACUUGGGGAAGGAAGGGGGUUAUGUUUGAUAGUCACUUUUGUUAUUUACACAAGUAAUAUUUUCCGUGCAUUUUAUUUGUUUAGUCAAGUAUGCUCUUUACAAUAAAGUCCUGCCUGCUAAUCUCUAUUUGCUGACUGACAUUUUUGUUUGUUUGUUUCCCCUAGGGUGAUAUUUGGGGAGGUAGCUUCUGAUGCUGCAGCAUGACCCUGGGUUGUGUUAACAGUGACCUCAAAUGUCUUGAGCAUGUUCCCCAAAUGUUCCAAAUCCUCCCUGCUCCCCCGAAAAUGUCAGUCAGUCAGAAAUGUUGACGGUUGUUUUUUUUUUUUUUUAAACUGGCAGUGCAGCUAGAUUAAGCCACUUGGGCUAAAUCACAUCUUCCGCGCUGGUGCUUUACACAGUUUAUUCUUCCUAACUGGAGAACCGCACAGACCCUUCUACCCCAAGUAAACUGUUGGAGUGGAAGGGGAAGAUGCUUUGAGGAAAUUUACUGUCUAUUCUCCUGUGACAGUUCAUCCCAACUGUAUGUCCUUGAUUCUCCACUAGAGGUCACUGGCCCAUCGCAGUCUCGCUGCACCUAGUUCCACCUCCAUUUCCUCUUACUCAAAUUAGCACUGCGUUAAUUAACACUGUAGUCCAUCAACGGGCGUUUCUCUGUACAGUACAGGAGCAGAGCUUAUAUAGACAAACCAAACCACAUAUAAAAAGCACCUACCAAAACUCUUCAUCAUGUACAAAAUGGGAAGCGCACGUCUGAGUGACCGGGGGCAAGAUUCAGACUAAGAAGAAGGAUCACAAGGGAUGGCAAUCAUCAAGAAAUGAAUAGAAGAUGGCUUGUGACUGAUGUAGAGAAGAAUGACUGAACUGACUGUUUGGAAUUAUUCUGGAAUUAGACUAGAAUGAGGUCUCCUCUCUGCCCAGCUAAGGAUACUCUUCCUGACCACAGGUAUGCUGCUGGGACUGAGGUGGAGUGUAUGGUGGAUUAAUCUUUGGGUUUCUGGCCCAUUUCUACAUCUCUCUGGCUCAUCUUCAAAACAAAAACGAUCAGCUAGGAAAAGCCUGAAGACUCAUGGCCACAGAUUCUUUAAAACACUUCCUCAAACUGACUGAUCUUUCAUCCGGGAAAUAACUCAUUGUGGAAACCCACCCACGCAGUCAUCCCAUCUGCUGGACUAGAGCAGUGUGGUGGACGUAUGCAGACCUAUCAGGGAGUUCCAGGUUGUGCUUCUUGCUGCGCACCCACAGCCGCACUCUGAAGAGGAAGACAUUGGUACUUGUAGUUCAUCUAAUAAACCUUCAGAUAGUUUAUUAUGGAAUUGGCUCCAAGGGCUGUCUUUGGUGUGAGAUCUAAAGUAGACUUGACCUGGGCAAUGCCCCCAGUGUGCUAUGUGUUUUCCAAACACAGAAGAAGCCAUGUUCUUGUCCCCAAGGAGCUCAAAGUGCUGUACUGGUAUCUUUUAAAAAGCAAUCCAUAUGACUUAUUAUGCAGUAUCUUAAAUACUUAAGGCAUCUAAUCUACAUCCCUUCAUCAACAUAAGAUACUGAUUUGUUGGAGUCAAGUCAAGUCUGUUGUAGCUGUUGACAUAUAUGCUAUUUUAUAGGAAAAAUGAAGUUUAGAACUGACUCUUGACACGUGAUGCACAUUUGGCAGGAGGCCAAGGCGAAUCAGAAUAAGCAACCAGAAGAAAAUGCCAAAUUCUAGAAAAUAAAAGUAGCUUAAUAUGUUUUAAUACCAAUAAAGUGGUUAAGGCAGGGAUCAUUCUACCUCAGGAACCAUCUUUGCAUUCAUGAGGAUGAGGAUAACUUCACUCACCAAGCAUAUGGAACCUAGACUUGCCCAGGAUGAAGUUUCUUAAACUCUUUUAUGGAGUCUGGUUAGCAAUUACAUGGAUUUUUGAGGAACAAUUCCAGAGCUUUGACUGAAUGAAAUAUACUGAAACCAAAAAGAAAAGCUUGGUCUUGAUUAUCUAUAUUACAGAUUAGCUUGAAGGAAAUAAUUAUUACCAAUCUGUACCAUAACAGCUGUACUUAACUGCAAUGUGACAUUUAAGGUCUGUGAAGCAGGGGAUGUCUUUUUGUUCUGGGCCUGUAUAGCAUGCAGCAAAAUGAGGUUCUAAUCCAUGAUUGGGGAUCCUAGAUGCUCCCAUAAAAUAAACAAUAUUAUAUUAAUAAUAAUAUUUCUAUUAUUCUAUUUGGAUUGUUGCUUUAAUUUUAUUUUUGAAGAUUUAUCUUUAGCUCUUGGAGCUAAACUGUCAAAGGCUCAUGCAUCAGGCCACUCCCAAAGCAUAUAUAGUCCUAAGGCCUGAUUCUCAUCUUGUAGAAAUGUAAGGCCCCAGUCUGGUAGUCAGAUCUAUGUGAGCAGUACCUGGGGACUGUGCAGAGCCCACUGACUUCAGUGCAGGUCCAGGCAGGCAUAAAUGUCAGCCCACACAGCUCUGAUUGCAGGAAAGCAGCUUUCAAACAGAAGUGACUCUGCAGAAGUCAGAUGCAGUUAGACCUAGGUAAAACAGUGAUGUAAGCAAAAGGAGAAUAGGACCCAAAACACACUUGCAUAUGCACAUUCAACCAAAGAAAUAAAACACCUGCACAUGUAACCCACACACCUCCUGGGUGUGCUGUUCUGUCCCAUCUAGUGGCACUGAGACCACUUAAAGAGAGAGGUAAAAUCAGCCUGCUCUUUUAAAAUGAGUCUGCCAGCUGGCUUUUAGCUCAUGCAUUAGAGGCUCGUGCACUAAGCUCCAGAGUUCCCCGGUUCAAUCCGUGACCAGGGUCUAUCGGCGUUACACACGCAUAUGCAGAUGAGGGCUUUGCAGGUGCAACGGGUGGUGCACAUUUUGUAUCCUGCACCUCUUGUACUGGGCUUUGAAAAUUUGGCCAUUUUAAUCAGUUCAGUUGUUUACAGCCAUCUCUUAGGUGUAAUGAACAAAUAGAUAUCAAGGAAAUUGAAGUUGGUUUAUUAGAAACCUUUUAAUUUUUUAUAAUUUUAAAAUGGAAAUCAACAGGGAAAAUACCAGAUUCAUUGCUAAUAGGUGAAGUGUGACUUUUCCAAUAUGUUAAGAUUAUAUUUUAUUAGUUCAAGAAAAAUAUGGUUAUAGAAAAUUAAUAUAUUUACCACUCCUUAAAAGAUUUUGCAGAAUUUUCUGUCUUCUCUCUGUUUCUUUCACAUUAUAUUUUACCUUUUCUGAUAUUUAUGCUUUUUGUUUCACAUGUUCAGCAAUCACAGUAUAUCUCUUAUACUCAUGGUUUUCAAUCAAAAUAUAUUUAAAAUUGCAUUUAAUAAAUACCUUUAACAUAGUAUCAACAGAAUUUUAUUUUUGUUGAUAUUUCUGGCUUCACUAUAUGUCAAAAUGUAAUUGGUUUGUUAGGGACCAAUCCUACAUUCCUAAUUCAAGAUAAAACUUCCACUGAAAUCAAUGGGAAGUCAAUUGUCUUGGUAUGGAUUUCAAGGUUGAGCCUUUAGCUUAGUUUUAUGAGUGUAACAGAGCCUUAAAUAAUUGUUCUUACCAUUGUCUGGCAGAACAUUCUUUCCACCAGUCUAGUUUAACUGGUGGUGUAAUUAAUAUGUAUAAUUCCAAAUUUUGUAAUAAAAUAAACUGCAUAUG